rnacentral:rRNA from 1 species
CGAGUGGCGAACGGGUGAGUAACACGUGGGUGAUCUGCCCUGCACUUCGGGAUAAGCUUGUGAAACUGGGUCUAAUACCGGAUAGGAGCCAUCUUUAGUGUGGUGGUUGGAAAGUUUUUCGGUGUAGGAUGAGCUCGCGGCCUAUCAGCUUGUUGGUGGGGUAAUGGCCUACCAAGGCGGCGACGGGUAGCCGGCCUGAGAGGGUGUACGGCCACAUUGGGACUGAGAUACGGCCCAG